GUGUCAGCCGCCGCGGUAAUACGAAGGGGGCGAGCGUUGUUCGGAGUUACUGGGCGUAAAGGGCGCGUAGGCGGCGCUCCAAGUUAGGCGUGAAAGCCCCGGGCUCAACCUGGGAAUUGCGCUUAAGACUGGAGUGCUCGAGUGCGGAAGAGGUGAGUGGAAUUCCCAGUGUAGAGGUGAAAUUCGUAGAUAUUGGGAAGAACACCAGUGGCGAAGGCGGCUCACUGGUCCGCAACUGACGCUGAGGCGCGAAAGCGUGGGGAGCAAACAGGAUUAGAUACCCUGGUAGUCC
rnacentral:rRNA from 1 species